AAGUCGUAAACAAGGUUUCCGUAGGUGAACCUGCGGAAGGAUCAUUUAGAAUGAGAGCCGGACCAUGAUCGUGGGCGAAAGCUCGCACAGUGCCAGUAAGCGUCCCGUAAACCUCCACCCUUGUGUAUUAUUCUUCUGUUGCUUUGGCAGGCCGCGACCCCUCUGGGGGAGCGCUGGCUUUCGGCUGGAGAGUGCCUGCCAGGGGACCAAAUCUCUGUAAUUUAAUUGCCGUCUGAGUACUACGAAAAUUAGUUAAAA
rnacentral:misc_RNA from 1 species